UCAGAUCUGACUCAAAAUGGAAAACAAACGGUCUGACUGCUGACUCGGUCCGAGUCAGGGGUUGACUCAGAUUCAGACGCCGAGUCAGCUGCAAACAAACAAGUUCUUCGUUCCCAUAGCCCUAGAAUCAUAGGGCACACUAGAAUUCAGCAGUUGAUAGAAACAUCAACGGAGCACAGCAUUGUACCAGAACUCCAUGGAAGUCCUCGCAUUGUAGAGCAAACUCGAAUUCGAGAGAAAAUGGAUAUGAUAAAUGAAAGGAAAAGGCAACGUCACCAUGAUUUGGACACACACUAAAGAACAAAUGAGCUACAGCAUUGCCGAAUUCUUGAGAGAGCCAAGCAAAGCUCAAUGAAAAUACACGAAAGGGAAGCUUUCCUUGAAAAGAGACGUAACGUCAUCACAUCAACGACUCCAGAAUAAAAAUGGGGAACUAGCUUGAACGAGUAAUGGUCACCUUUGCGGGAGAAAGCAAAUAUUUUACAUCCGAAGAUGAACAUGUAGUACAGCUGCGGAUUCCAGUCGGUGAUGUGGAUGAACCUUGCGUGGGCGAGGAGGAUUUUCUUUGUAUUUGCAAAACAUAACUUACGAAAAUAUACAUUUUAUAUAAACAUGCAUUAGUGAUUGAAAAUGAACAGGUUGAUGUUUUUGGAAUGGAAGGGCAGGCGCAUCGCGCGUGCGUGUUAUACUAGUAAAGUAUAAAGAAUCUAAUGAUUAACCUAAUCGAAGAUGUUAGUUUCAUGAACUUCCAUCCAUGUCGCUACACCACCACUACCCUCGUCCUUCUGACUACUAACUUCGACUUUUGUACAGGAUUCCCAAAUGUAAACCAAUUUUUUUCCCCUAACUUCAGUCAUUGCGCGACGGUUUUUCCAACAUCAAAGAAGGAAAUAUCAACCAAGUUUGUGAGUUGUUCUUCAAAUCAAACUGUUUCGUUGUACUUGCCGUCAGAUUAAAUUACUUUUUAAAGUAAUAGAUUUUACGAGCUCUUUCCAAUCAUUUCUACCAUUUAAAAAAUUGGUACCAAAGUUAAAUUGUACUCUAGAGGUAAUUAUAAGUUUCAAUAAUCAAAUUUUUUA